UAAUACAGAGGGUGCAAGCGUUAAUCGGAAUUACUGGGCGUAAAGCGCGCGUAGGUGGUUUGUUAAGUUGGAUGUGAAAUCCCCGGGCUCAACCUGGGAACUGCAUUCAAAACUGACUGACUAGAGUAUGGUAGAGGGUGGUGGAAUUUCCUGUGUAGCGGUGAAAUGCGUAGAUAUAGGAAGGAACACCAGUGGCGAAGGCGACCACCUGGACUAAUACUGACACUGGGGUGCGAAAGCGUGGGGAGCAAACAGGAUUAGAUACCCUGGUAGUCCACGCCGUAAACGAUGUCAACUAGCCGUUGGAAGCCUUGAGCUUUUAGUGGCGCAGCUAACGCAUUAAGUUGACCGCCUGGGGAGUACGGCCGCAAGGUUAAAACUUAAAGGAAUUGACGG
rnacentral:rRNA from 1 species